rnacentral:rRNA from 1 species
UACGUAGGGUGCAAGCGUUGUCCGGAACUAUUGGGCGUAAAGAGCUCGUAGGCGGUCUGUCGCGUCGGCUGUGAAAUCCCGAGGCUCAACCUCGGGUCUGCAGUCGAUACGGGCAAACUAGAGUAUUGCAGGGGAGACUGGAAUUCCUGGUGUAGCGGUGAAAUGCGCAGAUAUCAGGAGGAACACCGGUGGCGAAGGCGGGUCUCUGGGCCGAUACUGACGCUGAGGAGCGAAAGCGUGGGGAGCGAACAAG